UUUAAGGUCAGACGGGGAGUGUUCUGCCCUUCAGGCAUUUCAUUUGAAGUUAAUGCUUUUAAUUUUGUACAAAUUCAGUUUCAUCCAGACUUUUAUUUUGAUGUUUGUAUUUUUGGGCUGUACAGGAAGUAGGCAGGAAAAUAGUUUAGAUCACGUUAGAAUUUGUGUGUGAAAAAAGCUAGAAACGGCAGGUUGAUUAAAAGUGCAGACUGUCAUUACCCCAGAGAAACUGCUUCUUACAUGUUGAUUCCCCAGCAGAGGCAUCGCUUUUUCACUCUCUUUCGUCAUUUGAUCUUUUGAUCUUAUCAAUGUGGAUUCAGUACAAUGUGAAGAGUGAAAAUAAAUCUGCAAACAAGAAU